rnacentral:rRNA from 1 species
GACGAACGCUGGCGGCGUGCUUAACACAUGCAAGUCGAACGAUGAACUUGGAGCUUGCUCUGGGGGAUUAGUGGCGAACGGGUGAGUAACACGUGAGUAACCUGCCCUGGACUCUGGGAUAACUUCGAGAAAUAGGAGCUAAUACCGGAUAGGACCUUGCACCGCAUGGUGUGGGGUGGAAAGUUUUUCGGUUUGGGAUGGACUCGCGGCCUAUCAGCUUGUGGGUGAGGUAAUGGCUCACCAAGGCGUCGACGGGUAGCCGGCCUGAGAGGGUGACCGGCCACACUGGGACUGAGACACGGCCCAGACUCCUACGGGAGGCAGCAGUGGGGAAAAUUGCACAAUGGGCGCAAGCCUGAUGCAGCAACGCCGCGUGCGGGAUGACGGCCUUCGGGUUGUAAACCACUUUUAGUAGGGAAGAAGCCUUCGGGUGACGGUACCUGCAGAAAAAGGACCGGCUAACUACGUGCCAGCCGCCGCGGUAAAAC